rnacentral:lncRNA from 1 species
GCCCUGGCCGAGGCGGGACACUGUGAGUGCCUGGGCCCAGCUGCCAGCCAGCCUCCCUGCUUUCCCAAAGCAGGCCCAGCACCAUCCAAGGUCACCCCCAGCACUUGCACACAGGCUGUCACUGGCGAGUGCAGGGGAUAUUUUUAGCAUGUUGGAGGCAGUCUCCUAGCUACAGCUUGGAGAACUCAGCUGGGCAGGGGCUGGCAGUCCUCAGCCUGCACAAAAGCAAACUCUUCUCAUAAAUCCUGCUCUUCAGGCCAAAUCCUGCUCCAGGCUUGCUGCUGGUUUGGUGGGAACAUUGCCCAGGAAGAAAAAGAAGAAAACCUCAGACUUCGGGUGCUUAUCUCCUUUUAGAGAUCUACAGAAAUCAAUAUUCAAGCUAAAAGAUAAAGAAAUGUAACAAAAAGAAGAAGAGGAUAAUAAAGAC